UACAGAGGAGCCAAGCGUUGUCCGGAUUUACUGGGCGUAAAGAGCGCGCAGGCGGUCGAUCAAGUCGAGUGUGAAAGCCCCCGGCUCAACUGGGGAGGGUCAUUCGAUACUGAUCGACUCGAAGGCAGGAGAGGGUAGUGGAAUUCCCGGUGUAGUGGUGAAAUGCGUAGAUAUCGGGAGGAACACCAGUGGCGAAGGCGACUACCUGGCCUGUUCUUGACGCUGAGGCGCGAAAGCUAGGGGAGCGAACGGG
rnacentral:rRNA from 1 species